CCUACGGGGGGCUGCAGUGGGGAAUUUUGGACAAUGGGCGAAAGCCUGAUCCAGCAAUGCCGCGUGAGUGAAGAAGGCCUUCGGGUUGUAAAGCUCUUUUGUUUGAGAAGAAAUCCCUAAGGAUAAUACCCUUGGGGGAUGACGGUACCAAAAGAAUAAGCACCGGCUAACUACGUGCCAGCAGCCGCGGUAAUACGUAGGGUGCAAACGUUGAUCGGAAUUACUGGGCGUGAUGUGGGAGCAGGCGGGUGAAAGCCCCGAGCGCAACUUGGGAACUGCACUUGGGACUGCAAGACUAGAGUGUGUCAGAGGGAGGUAGAAUUCCACGUGUAGCAGUGAAAUGCGUAGAUAUGUGGAGGAAUACCAGUGGCGAAGGCGGCCUCCUGGGAUAACACUGACGCUCAUGUACGAAAGCGUGGGGAGCAAACAGGAUUAGAUACCCCGGUAGUC
rnacentral:rRNA from 1 species